GUGUCAGCAGCCGCGGUAAUACGGAGGUUGCAAGCGUUGUUCGGAAUGACUGGGCGUAAAGGGAGCGCAGGCGGCCAAAUCAGUCUGAAGUGAAAGCCCGGGGCUCAACCCCGGAAUGGCUUUGGAUACUGUUUGGCUUGAGUAUGCGAGAGGAAAGCGGAAUUCCAGGUGUAGCGGUGAAAUGCGUAGAUAUCUGGAGGAACACCGGUGGCGAAAGCGGCUUUCUGGCGCAUAACUGACGCUGAGGCUCGAAAGCGUGGGGAGCGAACGGGAUUAGAUACCCCGGUAGUCCACGCCGUAAACGUUGUGCACUAGGUGUGGGAGGUAUCGACCCCUUCCGUGCCGGAGCUAACGCAUUAAGUGCACCGCCUGGGGAGUACGGUCGCAAGACUGAAACUUAAAGGAAUUGGCGG
rnacentral:rRNA from 1 species